GUGAGUAGUUCAGAGUUUGAUCCUGGCUCAGGACGAACGCUGGCGGCGUGCCUAACACAUGCAAGUCGAGGGGUUUCGAAGAGCUUGCUCCGAGAAACGACCGGCGCACGGGUGAGUAACGCGUAUCCAACCUGCCCUUCAUAUUGGGAUAGCCUUCCGAAAGGGAGAUUAAUACCGAAUAACAUGAGAAGAUUGCAUGAACCUCUCAUGAAAGCUCCGGCGAUGAAGGAUGGGGAUGCGUUCCAUUAGGUAGUAGGCGGGGUAACGGCCCACCUAGCCGACGAUGGAUAGGGGUUCUGAGAGGAAGGUCCCCCACACUGGAACUGAGACACGGUCCAG
rnacentral:rRNA from 1 species